GUCCAAGUUACUGUAGAUUGAUCAUCUACGUGACUAUUAACGUCCAAUAUAUCUGAAUGCUUUGGAAAUUAUAUGUACUUUUGAAUUGUUUUGGUUUCAAGUUAAAAGCAUGUUGUUUUGUAUACUUCCAGUUCAAUUACUUUCUCUGCAUUAACUCCUGUUUCUUUUUAACUAUUAUACUUGCUGAGCAUUCUUUUGCUCAUUCUUGCUAUUUCUUCUCUAACUCUUUCAGAUAGUGUUAAAGAUGAUUCAUCUGUCUAGGCUGCGCGUAAGAGUAAUGCUAGGCAAGGAUUUCAAGUGAUUAGUUGUAACUGAAUGAUCAGGUAAAGUAUUCAGGAAGAUGUCUGCGAGAUUAGUGGUAAUUAGAGUUGGCUUAAUUUCGCUUCAAAUGUAAAAUAAAUUUAUUAAAUAUUAUCAGCUACUCUGAUAAUUUAGAUUGUAUUGUAAUAAGAUUUAUUAGUUGUGAUUCUGAUUUCAAUACUAUAGCCUGUUUGCGAUUCUGUUUUAAAGGGGGUGAAAUUGAGUUCUAAUUUAAAUCAUUUUUUUUCAUUUCCAGGUUUUGAAAUACUUGUUUUUACUUUCUCUCAAAGAUACAAGUUUUAAAUUGUUUUUCUUUUAGUGGCUCAAAAAUACAGGUUUUAAAUUAUUUUUAUUUACACGUGGCACCAAAUCCAGACCCCCGGAUUUGAGGGAUGUCACAGUUGGUAUCAGAGCUGCAGGUUAUAAGUUAUUGAAAUCAGAAUAUAGGUGGUAAUAUCAGGUUUAAUAGAGAGGCGCGCUAAGUGUAACCUUACAUAGAGGUAGUCUACAACUAUUUGGAAUAAUAUGUGUCAAUAGAACCAAGAUUCCGAUAUAGUAUUGACUUGAGUAUAUCAUAGUGUGUAUAAUAGUUUUCCUUUCCCAGAACUAGUAAGUUUAUAUCUCAGGGAAGAAAGAACAUGCCUACACCAUUUCCUAGUCUAUCGAGUAGUUAGUACCAAUAUUAGCAAACAAAUAGAUUCUCUUGUUGAGUCUAGAACAUC
rnacentral:lncRNA from 1 species